UACGGGGGGGGCAAGCGUUGUUCGGAAUUACUGGGCGUAAAGGGCGUGUAGGCGGUUCGGUAAGUCCGCUGUGAAAGUCGGGGGCUCAACCCUCGAAUGCCGGUGGAUACUGUCGAACUAGAGUGCGGAAGAGGCGAGUGGAAUUCCUGGUGUAGCGGUGAAAUGCGCAGAUAUCAGGAGGAACACCAAUUGCGAAGGCAGCUCGCUGGGACGUAACUGACGCUGAGACGCGAAAGCGUGGGGAGCAAACAGG
rnacentral:rRNA from 1 species